GGAGACACUGACAACAGGCUUAACUGGGAAGCUGUGCCCCAAAAGGAGCUUCAAAGAAGAGCCCCCUCCACAUCCUCAGGAGAAGGACUCUUGGUUGGAAAAGGCCUGGAAGUGACCAGUAUCUAUGGUGCUUCGUCUCUUUCUCAGGCCCAUAAGGACAGAAUUUACAUUUGAAAAGAAGAACAACACAGAAACUUUUGCAAAGGGCUGCCAAUACUUUUUCUCUGAGGAACGUGCAAUGUGAUGAACAAAAUUUUUUCCCAGAAAGCCAGAGGCUGGGCAAAGGCAGAGGGGCCUGGAGGCUGCUCCCAGGUUGGGAUUUCCAGUUCCUUGAUGAAGAGAAGUUACGAGACUGGGCAUCCUUGCUUUGUUCCUAAACAGGAGGUGAAAACAUUCAGUCUUCUGCCAUUAGGUCUGCCUUAUUAUUUUCGUCAGUGUUGUGCAGGAGAAUCCACUUAGAAGCCUGGGUAAAAUUGUAUUACAUGAUCUUGGGUUUGGUCCCUGAGAAAGAGCCAGAUUAACGCUGGCAGGAAAGAAAGCAGGAGUGCCCUUCAAACACGCUGCUGAAGGGCAACUGGAGGUUCCGGGGAAAUGUGAAGAAAGAAACGCAAACACCCCUAGGAACCAGAUUGCAUCUUGGAACUGAGGAGGUUCUGGAAGCUGUACACCCAAGGAAGACAUUCUGUGCCGGAGAGAGAGUGGGAGAGAUGUGACUGCUGCUGGCUGGGUGAGGACAGGCCCAGAGGACAGCAUCACUGGCACCCACCCCUGCAUUUGGGUCCUCUGCACCUCAGCUCCCA
rnacentral:lncRNA from 10 species